rnacentral:rRNA from 1 species
UACAUAGCUUAAUGAGGGGAACUCAGGGAACUGAAACAUCUAAGUACCUGAAGGAAGAGAAAGAAAUUCGAUUCCGUAAGUAGCGGCGAGCGAACGCGGAUUAGCCCAAACCAAUAAAGUUUUCUUUAUUGGGGUUGCGGACAUAUCAUAACGAAGAGGUAUCGUAAUUGAAGAGGUUUGGAAAGACCCACCACAGAAGGUAAUAGUCAUGUAUGUUAAACGAGAAGACUUUAGAUAUGAUCCAGAGUACCACGGGACACGUGAAACCCUGUGGGAAGCAGGAGGGACCACCCUCCAAGGCUAAAUACUACCUAGUGACCGAUAGCGUAUAGUACCGUGAGGGCAAGGUGAAAAGAACCCCGGGCGGGGAGUGAAAUCGAACCUGAAACCCUGCACUUACAAGCUGUGGAAGCACGUUUCUUGUGUGACCCCGUACUUUUUGUAGAACGGGCCAACGAGUUACGUUAAGUAGCAAGGUUAAGCACUUAAGGUGCGGAGCCGUAGCGAAAGCGAGUUUUAACUGAGCGUUCAGUUACUUGACGUAGACCCGAAACCGGGCGACCUACCCAUGAGCAGGAUGAAGCGAAAGUAAAAUUUCGUGGAGGUCCGAACCCACGAGCGUUGAAAAGCUCGGGGAUGACUUGUGGGUAGCGGUGAAAUUCCAAUCGAGCCCGGAGAUAGCUGGUUCUCCCCGAAAUAGCUUUAGGGCUAGCCUCAAGGUGAGAGAUACGGAGGUAGAGCACUGAAUGUCCUAGGGGGUAUUGCACCUACCGAAGACUAUCAAACUCCGAAUGCCGUCAUCUUAUACUUGGGAGUCAGACUGUGGGUGAUAAGAUUCAUAGUCGAAAGGGCAACAGCCCAGAUCGUCAGCUAAGGUCCCUAAAUGUAAGUUAAGUGGUAAAGGAUGUGGGAUUGCACAGACAACCAGGAUGUUGGCUUAGAAGCAGCCACUCAUUCAAAGAGUGCGUAAUAGCUCACUGGUCGAGUGAUCCUGCGCCGAAGAUUUCCGGGGCUAAAACUUACUACCGAAGCUACGGCAUCAGUAAUGA